AACGCACCUUGCACCCUUUGGCAUUCCGAAGGGUAUGCUCGUUUGAGUGUCAUUGUACUCUCACACUCCCAAUGCUUUUGGAUUGGGAGUGGUGGACUUGGGUGUUGCUGCUUUGCUGUGGCUCGCCUCAAAUGGAGUAGUGCAACUCUCGGUUGGACAUAGUACGGCGUGAUAAGUGUCUUCGCCGGCGCCUCACUAGAGGGUGGCUGAUCGGGAGCUCUGUGCUUCAAACCGUCUUCGGACAACAUCUAACAACUUGACCUCAAAUCGAGUAGGACUACCCGCUGAACUUAA
rnacentral:misc_RNA from 1 species